rnacentral:rRNA from 1 species
AUUGAACGCUGGCGGCAUGCCUUACACAUGCAAGUCGAACGGUAACAGGUCUUCGGAUGCCGACGAGUGGCGAACGGGUGAGUAAUACAUCGGAACGUGCCCGAGAGUGGGGGAUAACGAGGCGAAAGCUUUGCUAAUACCGCAUACGAUCUCAGGAUGAAAGCAGGGGACCGCAAGGCCUUGCGCUCACGGAGCGGCCGGUGGCAGAUUAGGUAGUUGGUGGGAUAAAAGCUUACCAAGCCGACGAUCUGUAGCUGGUCUGAGAGGCCGACCAGCCACGCUGGGACUGAGACACGGCCCAGACUCCUACGGGAGGCAGCAGUGGGGAAUUUUGGACAAUGGGCGCAAGCCUGAUCCAGCCAUGCCGCGUGCAGGAUGAAGGCCUUCGGGUUGUAAACUGCUUUUGUACGGAACGAAAAGACUCUAGUUAAUACCUGGGGUCCAUGACGGUACCGUAAGAAUAAGCACCGGCUAACUACGUGCCAGCAGCCGCAGUAAAAC